CUGUGACCAUGCUGGCCUUAAAUUCACAGAGAUCCACCUGCCUCUGCCUGUCAAAUGCUGGGAUGAAAGGCAUGUGUCACCACUGUUUGACCAGGCAACUCUUUCCAAACUCAUUGUUUCUUGCUGUUGAUUUCUGCAUGCUUCUCUGACUCAUGAACAUGAAUAACUCCUUUAUCCAGCAUUUCUUCCUUCCUCCCAGCAUACCCUGUAGAUCCUGUGUGGAGGUGUGAAGCAUCUUCUUCUACAUUUGUGCAUCUGCCACUGCCAAUCUUUCCAAGAUUAUUUCAGUUUCUGAUUUUGUUACUAGAGACACUAUUGGAUUUUGCAUAUUGAUUUUUACAACCUGAAAUCUUCUCAAACUCAUUUAUAAUUGCUUGCAGCUUUUGCACAGCUUCUGUUCUAUUUUCUACAUAAACCUCUUAAUAAAGAAAGAUACUGAUUAACCUUACUUGUUAGACCUUUGUUUUCUAUCUGGCUUUAGGUAGCUUUCUCACAUGCUUGAGGGAGUAAGUUUUUCAGCUGAGCUACAGGGCUGCCCUCUGAAGACCUUUAGAGCUGCAGCACUUUGCUUUCUGCUCCAUUGCCCUAGAUGCCCCAAAUCUUAUUAAAAAUAGUUUAAAAGUUAUUCUAUGUGUGGACUUUUGGAGGGGGAUGAUUAUAUGCAUGCCACAGUGAGCAUGUGGAGGUCAGAAGACAGCUCGUAGGAGUGAGCUCUCCUUUCACCAAGUGAGUUCCAACAAACAGAUUCGGGUCAUCAGUCUUGGCAGAAGUGCCUGUACCAGCUGAGCUGUUUCCCCAGCCAUUUGUUGGACUUCUUUCCCCUCAGGAGUCCCAGUCCCACGCUGUGCUUAGGAAGGUGGCAGAAGCAGACAGACGGGAGAAGACGUACCGAGCCUGGGAAAAGAACGGUGAUCUCCAACCUCUCUUUCAAGUCAUGGAGACCUAUCCUGCUUUGUUUGCAACCUCCAGGAAACUGGGAAGUGAGUGGCUACAGUGUUCUUAGGGUGAAUAUUAGACUCCAGCAGAAAAAGAUGUCUGUGCCAAGGCUGACAGGAAUAAGCAGAUUUAUCUAACUUCCCAGUUUGCACGUCAGGCUGGUAUGGAGGGAUCGUCGUGAAUACAAGAGGAUCCAGUCUGAAGGGUAUGUUCUGGGUGGUGACUGCCUCAUUCCACUAGUGCAAGCUUGAUUGCACUGCAUGACUCCGUGGGCUCAUGGGCACAAAAGGAAAGGGGGGCGCUCAAAGAACAUAGACCUUUGCUGGAAAUAAAUAGUCUCACAGUAAGACUCAUAA